GGGGGUAUAGCUCAGUGGUAGAGCACUUGCCUAGCAUGUGUGAGGUCCUGGGUUUAAUCCUCAAUACUUCAA
rnacentral:tRNA from 1 species